AGGAGAGACACACCAUGGGCCGAGUAACAGAGGUCGGCAAUGGAUGACUAACAACAUGGAGAAACAUCAGAGGAAAAAAGGGACAUAAAAGGUCAAAUUUAAGACAAGCUCAUAGAGGUUGAGACCAAGCUCAAGGAAACUAGAAAUUAGAGAUUAUAUCAAAGUCAAGAAACGCAGGCAAAAAUGGAGAAAGGAGUCAGGGGGAGAAGGAGAAAGCAAAGAAACAGAGGAAUGAAGGGUUGGAAGGCACGGGGAAGAUGAGAGGAGAGGGAGGAUGCAUAAAGAGAUGAGAGCUAGGAGUCUCCAGAGGGUGGAAGGGGCACUAGUUGCCGACCCUAAGCCGGAACCAGGGGUUGACGGCCAAGAAGCUUUUAGAAGUAGGAUUUUUGUGAGAGAUGAAGGAUGCACGAAUCUAAAAAGAAAAAAAAGGGAGAAGCUGAUUGAUCGGCUUUUCUACUUAAACAUGUGUUUUUUUGGUGUUUGAUUUAUACUUAUGUGACGCAGAAAGAACCAAAAUGGCCGAGGGAAAUAGAAACAACGGGGGAUAGAUACCUGGGAAUCACUCAACCAAGGGCAACGAAAAUCACUCACGUUGCUAAUUGUGGAUUCACUCACACGAUCAAGCCUCACACUUGAUUAAGGAAGGAGAAAACUCUCUUCUUAGAUUACUUUUAAUUUACUAAUUGAUUACUUUAAAGAUACAUUUGGAACCCUUUAAAUAGGGAGAUACGAACUCAUUGAUACAAGAGAUGAUUAAAACUAAAGAAAACAUCUUGUAGUUACAAUGCAACCUAAUUAAGAGAGCCUUAAUCAUAUUCUUUGAGGAACGAGAAGCCACACUAGCUAUCAUUACUUUAUGUGGCUGUAUUAAUUUAUCAUUCAUGUACUGCAUCAAUCUCAUCUUCUCGAAAAGAACUCAUCCUCGAGUUCGAAUCCUUUUUUAUCUUUGUUUGAGUUUAGGUUUUCGACCUGUCUAAGAUGUUAACUGGUGGAGCUUUUCAAAUAAUUGAGUAUCAACGACUUGGGCUAAUAAUAUCUUCAAAAUAGCAAACAAAAAGUCAUCACAUAAGGCACCGAACCAUAUUUGCAAAAUAGUAAAAUCAGCAACAUCAAAGCCACGUUUGAAAUCAUCUUCCAACCAGGAAUUUCCUUCCUUUAUUGGAAGAAGUUGAAAAACUAUAGGCUCAAGACUUUCUUGUGUGGUUGAUGAUGUAACUUCUUGAAUGAACUUAAUUGGAAAUACCCCUUUGGUAGGAAUCAUCAAAUAUCCAUAUUAAGAAUAAUCAUCAUAUAUUAGAGGAAAACUCCAAUCAACUCGUUGGAAAGAAAACAAAUCUUGUUCUCAAAGUAGCUGCUUAGAAUUAACUUUGUUGAUACACAAAAUCAAUGGGGACUUUGGUACAACAGAAAAUGUUAAGUUUGUGACCUUCGCUAGAUUGCUCCGGUCAUUAGUGUGGAUAAGUAUGUAAAUGGAUAGAGACAGGGAAGCAAACACAAGAUGUACGUGGUUCACCCAGAUUGGCUACGUCCACAGAGUAGAGGAGUUCUCAUUAAUUGUAAAGGG
rnacentral:lncRNA from 1 species